rnacentral:rRNA from 1 species
AAAUUUGUAAUCUGGCGUCUUUCAGGCGUCCGAGUUGUAAUCUAUAGAAGUGUUUUCCGUGCUGGACCAUGUCCAAGUCCCUUGGAACAGGGUAUCAAAGAGGGUGACAAUCCCGUACUUGAUAUGGCCACCAGUGCUCUGUGAUACACUUUCUACGAGUCGAGUUGUUUGGGAAUGCAGCUCAAAAUGGGUGGUAAAUUCCAUCUAAAGCUAAAUAUUGGCGAGAGACCGAUAGCGAACAAGUACCGUGAGGGAAAGAUGAAAAGCACUUUGGAAAGAGAGUUAAACAGUACGUGAAAUUGUUGAAAGGGAAACGAUUGAAGUCAGUCGUGUUCAUUGGACUCAGCCGGUUCUUCCGGUCUAUUUCCUUUGAACGGGUCAACAUCAGUUUUGUCCGGUGGAUAAAGGCAGAGAGAAAGUGGCUCCCUCGGGAGUGUUAUAGCUUUUUGUCACAUACACUGGAGGAGACUGAGGACUGCAGCUCGCCUUUUGGCCGGGGUUCGCCCACGUUCGAGCUUAGGAUGUUGACAUAAUGGCUUUAAACGACCCGUCUUG